ACAGCCUGGGCUCAGAGGUAAUAAAUAAGGUGCCAAGGCCACACCUGUUCGGAGUGGAUGUUGAAGUCUGUGUUACUUCAGUUCUAUCUCCUAUUCCCAGUCCAUUCUGCAGAUGAGAAAACUGAGACCCACACAGUGUACAUGCUGAUCUUAAUGAGAAUGAUGACAAUAACGGGAGGAAAAAAAUGAGCAGAAACUGCUAACAUCUGGAGGCUGCUGUCCAGUUUACGUAAUCUCUUGCUGCAGAGGAGGAACACGGGAUCCCCAGCCAGAUGGUCCGUGGGUGACUUCACAGCACAUGUGCUACCUCCAAGACAGGGUUCUCUGAGGAACAAGGACCUUCCAGAGUGAUGCUUUUCCCUAGUGGCAGCCUUGGCCAGGGCAACAGACAUCUGCACAAACGCAGGGUGUUGAAGCAGCUGUUCUGAGAUGCAGUGCCUGAGAAUCUGGGAUCCACAAUGUGAACUUCUCAACAACCCCUGCACCUGCCACUUCCCUGAAUCUUCCACUAAGCACCAGAAGACACAUGCAUUUUAAAUCAAAGGAAUGUGAGUUGGAAUUUCAGCUUCUGCCAUUCACUGACAACAUGGCCUUGAACCCUUCAUAAACUCUAAUAUCUUCCACUGCAGAAUGAGAUGAUGGUACCUAUGUUGUAGCAUUGUGAGGAUUCAAAGAGCUCUUGCACAUGCAAAUAUUUAGAUACACCCUACUCACUAAAAAUACAAAAUUGACAUUUUCCUCCAUCACUUGCUGCUUCUUUCUUCCUGGCUGUAGAGGGACAUGGUUCUGGUUUCAAAUUCUAGACUUCCCUGUUCUACCACUGGGCUACCUGUAGAACUUGGGUAAGUGACCUAACCUUUGUGAGUCUUAAUUACAGUAGUUACCUCAUACAGUGGUUGACAGGUUUAAAUGUACAAAAAACAGUGUAGAGUUCUCUACAUAAUGUAAUCACUCUGACAGCCAAGCCAUUCUCUUUACUCUACUCAUCAUUAUCAAUUUCUGUGAUUACUAUUACAUUAUGGUUAUUACUGGUAUUUGUUGUUAUUGUGUAGUCCUUCCUUUUU
rnacentral:lncRNA from 1 species